rnacentral:misc_RNA from 1 species
AAAAUUUUCAGUAAAAAUUUCCAGGAAAAGAGGAGUGUCCGACCAACAUUUUCUGCUGAGCAUAUUUAUGGAGGGACUUUGUUGGCAAUGUGUGCAAAUGACUUCAUUUGUUUUUAUGAUUGGGCUGAAUGCAGGUUGAUUAGGCGAAUUGAUGUUACUGUCAAAAAUCUUUAUUGGGCUGAUAGUGGUGAUUUGGUGGCAAUUGCUAGUGAUACGUCAUUCUACAUCCUCAAAUACAACCGCGACCUAGUUUCAUCUUAUUUAGAUAGUGGAAGACCUGUUGAUGAGCAAGGUGUUGAGGAUGCCUUUGAACUUCUCCAUGAAACUAAUGAACGUGUCAGGACUGGCUUAUGGGUUGGGGAUUGCUUUAUUUACAA